CACGCCUCCGCUGUCGACGGACACGUCGGCCGGGUGAAAGCGAUCCGUGCUAUUUUCUACAUUGUGUAACGCACACGCCUCCGCUGUCGACGGCGAUCCGUCGGUUUUCUGCAAGCGACAAUGCCAGCGUGGCUUCCUGAAAAACUGGAAGAGCCUCGGUGGCCGCGGGGGCGACCCGAAAUGGCGUCGUCUCGACAACAAAGCCUACGGCAAUAUUUUAGCAGACUGGGCGGCGGGCACAUGUCGGUCGGUCGGCCCUCACGUGGCGUCCGACCGAGGUGCCUUGCCCUUUCCAUUGGCGGCGGACCGGAGAACUCCAGCGACGCCAUCGUCAUCGUGGCUAACUGAUUCUGCUCCCGAAAAAUGUUUACGUGUAAUAUUCCCGCCAUCUUUUUGCUGUCCAUAACGGCGACGCUUUUAUCGCAUUUAAUUUCACGCAUGAUGGAACGACGAUGACGACGACGACACUUUCCCGAAAGAAUUGCUUCAUUCUCUUCCUGGCUUUUGGAUCGUGACGGAUGAUGCGUGUUUUCCACAGGUGCGAGUGGGCAUGCUUGACUGGCAGGUGAAAAUGAACGGCCGCAAGUGGGUCCGGUAGAUAGCGGACGAGGUGUGAACGAGGAAAGAACAGGGGGGAGAUGCCUCGCUCGAUGAGAGGAGGUGAGGAAAGAACACAAGAUCGGCCGGGCCAAAGGGAAACGUGAUCGCUUUUGUGUGGGUUAGCAACGAGGUCACACGGCGCCAUGAUAUUUCGGUAUUUGAAUAUUUCACGAUACGAAAAGAGCCGAGUACAGGUCCCUGCGGGACUCCGCAAGUGACGUUACAAUACUGCCAGGUUUUAUUGCCGCGAGUUACACGAUGUUUCUUUUCUGAGAGCCUUUAAAAUCAAGAUGUAUUUCCAGGCAAUUUAGUCGCAGUAGGUUCUGAUCAGCGGGAUCAAUGAUUCCAUUGAUUGUCUGAGGUCCAGUAAAUAAUAUUAUCAAUGAGACGUUGCAAAAAUAAAACAUUAGCUGCUCUCAGUAAUCAGUCCCGACUUCAAAAAGUUUAAAAGGAAGUACCGUAAUUUUCGGACUAUAAGUCGCACCGGAGUAUAAGUCGCACCAGCCAUAAAAUGCCCAAAAAAGUGAAAAAAAACAUAUAUAUGUAUAUAAGUCGCUCCUGAGUAUAAGUCGCCCCCCCCACCCAAACUAUGAAAAAAAAUGCGACUUAUAGUCCGAAAAUUACGGUACAUAAAAGCUGAAAAAUAGAGGGCCAAGGUCAACGCCAUGCGGGACUCCGCAAGUGACAUUACAAUACACAGAGGCAAUCAUUAAGCUGUUGCGCUACUUUUUUUGUUGUUGUUGUUUCCAAAACUAGCGAGGGAUUUGCUCGGGGUCGAAAGCUGCAGCGACAGCGAUACAAUCGUUCAUAUUUCAGCAGGACAAUCAAUUGGAGUAGAUAACAAACCCUCGGCGGCGGCGGUAAUGAUGCACCUUGACGUUGGCAACGAAAAAUAAUUCACAAUCAGCCUUGAGUCAGUCCGAUCCAAUACUGUGAUUCAUCUUGUGCCAAUAAAGCUUGUCAUUUUCCAUUGAAUACUUUUACAAAGUGUUCUUUCGUUAAAGCUGUGUGAGAGGAGAAGGCAAGAAGAAAUACCUGCGUCAACUCAGCGG